ensembl:misc_RNA 7SK 7SK RNA
GGAUGUGAGGAGGAUCUAGCAGCAGUAUCUGCCCCUGCAUCAACCACCAAGGUUGAUUCAACUGCCCUGGCUGGCUAGGUACUGUGCCCUUCCUCCCUCACCACUCAUGUGUCCUACCCAAGCUGUGUGCUGAACCCAAGAGGACAGCCUUCCACCUUUCUGAACAGAGGAUGACUGUUCUUUCAAAGGUUACAAGUAGCUGCUCUUUCUGGCUAGAUCUUCCAAACAAUCUCUCAGGAUCCUAAGAUCAGCAGAGAGCCUCACUGUGAUGAGCAAACCUCUGCUACGAG